rnacentral:rRNA from 1 species
AAGUCGUAACAAGGUCUCCGUAGGUGAACCUGCGGAGGGAUCAUUACAAGUGACCCCGGCUACGGCCGGGAUGUUCAUAACCCUUUGUUGUCCGACUCUGUUGCCUCCGGGGCGACCCUGCCUUCGGGCGGGGGCUCCGGGUGGACACUUCAAACUCUUGCGUAACUUUGCAGUCUGAGUAAACUUAAUUAAUAAAUUAAAACUUUUAACAACGGAUCUCUUGGUUCUGGCAUCGAUGAAGAACGCAGCGAAAUGCGAUAAGUAAUGUGAAUUGCAGAAUUCAGUGAAUCAUCGAAUCUUUGAACGCACAUUGCGCCCCCCGGUAUUCCGGGGGGCAUGCCUGUUCGAGCGUCAUUUCACCACUCAAGCCUCGCUUGGUAUUGGGCAACGCGGUCCGCCGCGUGCCUCAAAUCGUCCGGCUGGGUCUUCUGUCCCCUAAGCGUUGUGGAAACUAUUCGCUAAAGGGUGUUCGGGAGGCUACGCCGUAAAACAACCCCAUUUCUAAGGUUGACCUCGGAUCAGGUAGGGAUACCCGCUGAACUUAA